UGAUUAAAGAAGAGUUAUGGAUGAUGUAAAUGGAAAAGAAUCGUGUUCCUCUGCUGCCAGUUUCAAAGGCUUCAACAGAUGAGCGAGAAAGCUCAGCCUCUGAUAUAACCCAUACUGCAACAGUGCUUAACAAAGAGAAACAAGAAGUGAACUGUCUGAAGAAGUUGGAAUGCCAGAAGAAGAGUACUCGAAUGGUCAUCCUGGCUUGGCUCUUGUCAUACUGAUGGGCCACUUGGACAUUUGUUCAAAGACAAAAAGCUUUUUCAGUGUGCAUUUUCGUAAUGUAUUUCUUAUAUUAGCUAAAAGUUAAAGUUUGUAAUAAUGUUUGUAAAUAAAUUAUGUGUUUUGCAGUUUACAAUAA